AACCUCCGCAAUGUGAGAAAUCGCGACGGGGGGAUCCCAAGUGCCAUUCUUAACGGGAUGGCUUUUCUUAAGUGUAAAAAGCUUUUGGAAUAAGAGCUGGGCAAGACCGGUGCCAGCCGCCGCGGUAACACCGGCAGCUCUAGUGGUAGCUGUUUUUAUUGGGCCUAAAGCGUUCGUAGCCGGUUUGAUAAGUCACUGGUGAGAUCCUGUAGCUUAACUGUGGGAAUUGCUGGUGAUACUGUUGAACUUGAGGUCGGGAGAGGUUAGCGGUACUCCCAGGGUAGAGGUGAAAUUCUGUAAUCCUGGGAGGACCACCUGUGGCGAAGGCGGCUAACUGGAACGAACCUGACGGUGAGGGACGAAAGCUAGGGGCGCGAACCGGAUUAGAUACCCGGGUAGUCCUAACUGUAAACGAUGCGGACUUGGUGUUGGGGUGGCUUUGAGCUGCUCCAGUGCCGAAGGGAAGCUGUUAAGUCCGCCGCCUGGGAAGUACGGUCGCAAGACUGAAACUUAAAGGAAUU
rnacentral:rRNA from 1 species